AUUGAACGCUGGCGGCAGGCCUAACACAUGCAAGUCGAGCGAGCGGCGGACGGGUGAGUAAUGUCUGGGAAACUGCCUGAUGGAGGGGGAUAACUACUGGAAACGGUAGCUAAUACCGCAUACCAUCAGAUGUGCCCAGAUGGGAUUAGCUAGUAGGUGGGGUAAUGGCUCACCUAGGCGACGAUCCCUAGCUGGUCUGAGAGGAUGACCAGCCACACUGGAACUGAGACACGGUCCAGACUCCUACGGGAGGCAGCAGUAGGGAAUCUUGCACAAUGGGCGAAAGCCUGACGGAGCAACGCCGCGUGUGUGAUGAAGGUCUUCGGAUCGUAAAAUUCUUUGAUUAGGGAGGCGUUACCUACUCAGAAAGCCCCGGCUAACUCCGUGCCAGCAGCCGCGGUAAUUC
rnacentral:rRNA from 1 species